CAAAAUGUUGGUCCAUUUCAGUCGGGAGUUCAAGAUGUAAAGUUCCAGUUGGCUAUAGAUUCUAUAGAUAUGAUGCUGAAAACCAUGCACUGUAUUAGAGACCAGUUUUCUACCAUGGAUGAGGCACUAAAUGGGCAUUAGCACCAGUAAACUGAAGGAGUUUCUUAGAACUUGUUUUUACAAGGAAUGUUCAGCCGGAAAUUCUGGUUCUGUUGCAUAGAAGCCAAUAGCUUUUAGCUUCAAUUUGUAAGACACCUCUCCGUGCUAGUUCAAUAUCUGAAAAUAACCAUAAAAGCGUGGUGCAAGCAUAGCUGUCUGUGCAGCCCAAGGUUGAAGAAAACUUACUCUCCACUAAUUCUGUUCCUUAUGCUUCU
rnacentral:sRNA from 1 species